GUAUUAGGCAAAUCCGGUACUCGUUAAGGCUGAGCUGUGAUGGGGAGAAGACAUUGUGUCUUCGAGUCGUUGAUUUCACACUGCCGAGAAAAGCCUCUAGAUAGAAAAUAGGUGCCCGUACCGCAAACCGACACAGGUAGUCAAGAUGAGAAUUCUAAGGUGAGCGAGCGAACUCUCGUUAAGGAACUCGGCAAAAUGACCCCGUAACUUCGGGAGAAGGGGUGCUCUUUAGGGUUAACGCCCAGAAGAGCCGCAGUGAAUAGGCCCAAGCGACUGUUUAUCAAAAACACAGGUCUCUGCUAAACCGUAAGGUGAUGUAUAGGGGCUGACGCCUGCCCGGUGCUGGAAGGUUAAGAGGAGUGGUUAGCUUCUGCGAAGCUACGAAUCGAAGCCCCAGUAAACGGCGGCCGUAACUAUAACGGUCCUAAGGUAGCGAAAUUCCUUGUCGGGUAAGUUCCGACCCGCACGAAAGGCGUAACGAUUUGGGCACUGUCUCAACGAGAGACUCGGUGAAAUCAUAGUACCUGUGAAGAUGCAGGUUACCCGCGACAGGACGGAAAGACCCCGUGGAGCUUUACUGUAGCCUGAUAUUGAAAUUCGGCACAGCUUGUACAGGAUAGGUAGGAGCCUUUGAAACGUGAGCGCUAGCUUACGUGGAGGCGCUGGUGGGAUACUACCCUAGCUGUGUUGGCUUUCUAACCCGCACCACUUAUCGUGGUGGGAGACAGUGUCAGGCGGGCAGUUUGACUGGGGCGGUCGCCUCCUAAAAGGUAACGGAGGCGCUCAAAGGUUCCCUCAGAAUGGUUGGAAAUCAUUCAUAGAGUGUAAAGGCAUAAGGGAGCUUGACUGCGAGACCUACAAGUCGAGCAGGGUCGAAAGACGGACUUAGUGAUCCGGUGGUUCCGCAUGGAAGGGCCAUCGCUCAACGGAUAAAAGCUACCCCGGGGAUAACAGGCUUAUCUCCCCCAAGAGUUCACAUCGACGGGGAGGUUUGGCACCUCGAUGUCGGCUCAUCGCAUCCUGGGGCUGUAGUCGGUCCCAAGGGUUGGGCUGUUCGCCCAUUAAAGCGGUACGCGAGCUGGGUUCAGAACGUCGUGAGACAGUUCGGUCCCUAUCCGUCGUGGGCGUAGGAAAUUUGAGAGGAGCUGUCCUUAGUACGAGAGGACCGGGAUGGACAUACCUCUGGUGUACCAGUUGUCGUGCCAACGGCAUAGCUGGGUAGCUAUGUGUGGACGGGAUAAGUGCUGAAAGCAUCUAAGCAUGAAGCCCCCCUCAAGAUGAGAUUUCCCAACUUCGGUUAUAAGAUCCCUCAAAGAUGAUGAGGUUAAUAGGUUCGAGGUGGAAGCAUGGUGACAUGUGGAGCUGACGAAUACUAAUCGAUCGAAGACUUAAUCAA
rnacentral:rRNA from 1 species